rnacentral:rRNA from 1 species
GACGAACGCUGGCGGCGUGCCUAAUACAUGCAAGUAGAACGCACAGUUUAUACCGUAGCUUGCUCCACCAUAGACUGUGAGUUGCGAACGGGUGAGUAACGCGUAGGUAACCUGCCUGGUAGCGGGGGAUAACUAUUGGAAACGAUAGCUAAUACCGCAUAAUAUUAAUUAUUGCAUGAUAAUUAAUUGAAAGGUGCAAUUGCACCACUACCAGAUGGACCUGCGUUGUAUUAGCUAGUAGGUGAGGUAACGGCUCACCUAGGCGACGAUACAUAGCCGACCUGAGAGGGUGAUCGGCCACACUGGGACUGAGACACGGCCCAGACUCAUACGGGAGGCAGCAGUAGGGAAUCUUCGGCAAUGGACGAAAGUCUGACCGAGCAACGCCGCGUGAGUGAAGAAGGUUGUCGGAUCGUAAAGCUCUGUUGUAAGAGAAGAACGGGUGUGAGAGUGGAAAGUUCACACUGUGACGGUAUCUUACCAGAAAGGGACGGCUAACUACGUG